GUAAGCUACUAAGGGCGCACGGUGGAUGCCUUGGCGUCAAAUGCCGAUGAAGGACGUGGUAUACUGCGAUAAGCCUCGGGGAGUUGUAUGCGAACGCUAUAUCCGAGGAUUUCCGAAUGGGGAAACCCACCAGGGGUUAAUGCCCUGGUACUGCUAUCUGAAUAAAAUAGGGUAGCAGAGGGAACGAGGAGAACUGAAACAUCUUAGUACCCUCAGGAAAAGAAAUGAUUCCCAGAGUAGUGGCGAGCGAAAUGGGAGCAGCCCAAACCACAGCUAUAUGCUCGUGGGGUUGUAGGGCUUGUCGUAUGAGAGUGACAAAUCUGUCUGGUAGCAAAAUCUUCUGGAAAGUUGAGCCAUAGAGGGUGACAGCCCCGUAGGCGAAACUGGACGGACUCUCGACAAGUACCUGAGUACGGCGGGGCACGCUAACCCUGUCGGAAUCUGGGAGGUCCACCUCCCAAGGCUAAAUACAUUUGACGACCGAUAGUGAACUAGUACCGUGAGGGAAAGGUGAAAAGACCCCCGGCUAGGGGAGUGAAAUAGAACCUGAAACCGUGUGCCUACAGACAGUCGGAGCACUAUGGGCGAUCCUCGGAUCGUCAACGUGUGACGGCGUGCCUCUUGGAGAAUGAGCCAGCGAGUUAAUUUCAGUGGCAAGGUUAAGCCAGAUACAGGCGGAGCCGUAGCGAAAGCGAGUCUUAAUAGGGCGUUGAGUCGCUGGGAUUAGACACGAAACCAAGUGAGCUACCCAUGGGCAGGUUGAAGCGGGAGUAAUGUCUCGUGGAGGACCGAACUCACUAAUAUUGCAAAAUUAGGGGAUGACCUGUGGGUAGGGGUGAAAUGCCAAACGAACUUGGAUAUAGCUUGUUCUCUCCGAAAUAGCUUUAGGGCUAGCGUCGUAUGUUUAGUAUAGGGGGUAGAGCACUGAAUGAGCUAGGGGGCGCAAGCUUACCAACCUCAAUCAAACUCCGAAUACCUAUACUCCAAGUACGGCAGUCGGACUGUGUGAGAUGAGUUUCACAGUCGAAAGGGAAACAGCCCAGACCGUCAGCUAAGGUCCCCAAGUGUGUGUUAAGUGGGAAACGAUGUGAGAGUGUUUAGACAGCCAGGAGGUUGGCUUAGAAGCAGCCACCCUUUAAAGAGUGCGUAACAGCUCACUGGUCAAACGCUCUUGCGCGGAAAAUUUAACGGGGCUCAAACACACCACCGAAGCUACGGAUAGCAUCCUUGUGAUGCUAUGGUAGGAGAGCGUUGUGAAGGAGAUACAAGGUAGACCGAAAGGACUGCUGCGGCCUUCACAAGUGAGAAUGCUGGCAUGAGUAGCGCAAAACAUGUGAGAACCAUGUUCCCCGUAAACCUAAGGUUUCCGACGGAAGGUCAGUCCGCGUCGGGUUAGUCGGUCCUUAGCCGAGGUCGAAAGACGUAGGUGAUGGACAUCCGGUUAAUAUUCCGGAACCACUUAGAUGGAGCGAUGAAGGGACGCGGCGUGGUAGGUCAGCCUCUUAUUGGAUUGAGGUGCCAAACGUCUAGGAUGUUGAAGGGUGUAGGAAAAUCCGCACCCCGAAUCCGAAGCGUGAUGGCGGUGCCUAGAGCCACAAGUGAUUGAGCCAUGCCGCCAAGAAAAGCUUCUAAGCGUUGAAAUUUAAGUGACCGUACCGCAAACCGACACUGGUAGGUGGGUAGAGUAUACCAAGGGGAGCGAGAGAACCUUCGUUAAGGAAUUAGGCAAAUUUCCCCCGUACGUUCGCAAUAAGGGGGGCCUCUGGCGGUGAGCUAUGCAGAGCUGCUGGAGGCCGCAGUGAAAUGGCUCUUCCAACUGUUUAACAAAAACACAGGUCUCUGCUAAGUCGAAAGACGAAGUAUAGGGGCUGACGCCUGCCCAGUGCUGGAAGGUUAAGGGGAGAGGUUAGGGGUAACCCGAAGCUUUGAGCCGAAGCCCCAGUGAACGGCGGCCGUAACUAUAACGGUCCUAAGGUAGCGAAAUUCCUUGUCGGGUAAGUUCCGACCCGCACGAAUGGCGUAAUGAGAGGAGCACUGUCUCAACGAGGGACUCGGCGAACAUUGAAGGACGUGUGAAGAUACACGUGACCCGCAGCGGGACAAAAAGACCCCGUGAAGCUUUACUAUAACUUGCCAUUGAGUUAGGGCUAAACUUGUGUAGUAUAGGUGGGAGGCUUUGAAGCUGGGACGCCAGUCUCGGUGGAGCCACCGUUGAAAUACCACCCUGGUUUAUUCUUGGCUCUAACCUGUCGCCGUUAUCCGGCAUGGGGACAGUGGCUGGUGGGUAGUUUGACUGGGGCGGUCGCCUCCUAAAGAGUAACAGAGGCGCCCAAAGGUUCCCUCAGGCUGAAUGGAAACCAGCCGUUGAGUGUAAAGGCACAAGGGAGCUUGACUGCAAGACCAACAAGUCGCGCAGGUACGAAAGUAGGGCUUAGUGAUCCCACGGUUCCGAGUGGAAGGGCCGUGGCUUACCGGAUAAAAGCUACUCCGGGGAUAACAGGGUAGUCUGGUCCAAGAGUUCAUAUCGACGACCAGGUUCGCCACCUCGAUGUCGGCUCAUCACAUCCUGGGGCUGGAUAAGGUCCCAAGGGUUGGGCUGUUCGCCCAUUAAAGUGGUACGUGAGCUGGGUUCAGACCGUCGUGAGACAGGUCGGUCUCUAUCCGCUGUGGGCGCAAGGGAUUUGAGAGAAGCUGUCCCUAGUACGAGAGGACCGGGAUGGACAGACCUCUAGUGUGCCAGUUGUUCCGCCAGGGGCAUUGCUGGGUAGCUACGUCUGGCAGAGAUAACCGCUGAAAGCAUCUAAGUGGGAAACUCGUCUCAAGAUUAGAUCCCUCAUCCGUAUGGAGUAAGACCGCUAGAAGACUACUAGUUUGAUAGGCGGCAGGUGUACGCAUAGUAAUAUGUUCAGCCAAGCCGUACUAAUGGUCGAGGGCUUAC
rnacentral:rRNA from 1 species